CCUACGGGAGGCAGCAGUGAGGAAUAUUGGUCAAUGGACGCAAGUCUGAACCAGCCAUGCCGCGUGCAGGAAGACGGCUCUAUGAGUUGUAAACUGCUUUUGUACGAGGGUAAACGCAGAUACGCGUAUCUGUCUGAAAGUAUCGUACGAAUAAGGAUCGGCUAACUCCGUGCCAGCAGCCGCGGUAAUACGGAGGAUUCAAGCGUUAUCCGGAUUUAUUGGGUUUAAAGGGUGCGUAGGCGGUCGGAUAAGUUAGAGGUGAAAUCCCGAGGCUCAACUUCGGAAUUGCCUCUGAUACUGUUCGGCGAGAGAGUAGUGGCGGUAGGCGGAAUGUAUGGUGUAGCGGUGAAAUGCUUAGAGAUCAUACAGAACACCGAUUGCGAAGGCAGCUUACCAAGCUACUUCUGACGUUGAGGCACGAAAGCGUGGGGAGCAAACAGGAUUAGAUACCCGAGUAGUC
rnacentral:rRNA from 1 species